rnacentral:rRNA from 1 species
AUUAACUUACACUAACCAGCGCCAGGGAAUUACGAGCAAUGCUUAAAACCCAAAGGAUUUGACGGUGUCCCACCCCACUAGAGGAGCCUGUUCUAUAAUCGAUGAUCCCCGCUACACCCGACCAUUCCUCGCUUAUCAGUCUGUAUACCUCCGUCGAAAGCUUACCAUGUGAACGCCCGCAGUAAGCUUAAUGACCUAACCGUCAACACGUCAGGUCAAGGUGCAGCUUAAGGAAUGGGAAGUGAUGGGCUACAAUUUCUAACUUAGAACAAACGAAAGACUAUGUGAAAUCCUAGUCAUGAAGGUGGAUUUAGUAGUAAAAAGAAAGUAGAGUGUUCUUUUUAACCCGGCUCUGGGACGCGUACACACCGCCCGUCACCCUCUUCGAUAGUAUUUUUAUUCUGUCCCUAACCCCACACCACGUCUUAGAAGAGGCAAGUCGUAACAUGGUAAGUGUACUGGAAAGUGCACUUGGUAUACUACAAAAUGUAGCUUAACAAAAGCCCCUCGCUUACACCUAGGAAAUAUCUGUUAAACCCAGAUCAUUUUGAGCCCAAAAUCUAGCCCCACACAUCCACAUGAUUCCUUCCCCACCCCGCCCUCAAACAAAACAUUUUAACAUUCUAGUAUAGGUGAUCGAAAAAUUUCUAAGCGCUUCAGAUAGAGUACCGCAAGGGAAAAAUGAAAUAGAAAUGAAAUAAUCUUAAAGCCCUAAACAGCAGAGAUA